UCCUGUGUUCAGGCGAUUCUCCCGCCUCGGCCUCCCAAGUAGCUGGGACUACAAGCACGUGCCAACACACCCGGCUAAUUUUUGUAUUUUUAGUAGAGACGGGGUUUCACUAUGUUGGCCAAGCUGCUCUCGAACUCCUGACCUCGUGAUCUGCCCGCCUCGGCCUCCCAAAGUGCUGGGAUUACAGGCGUGAGCCACUGUGCCCGGCCUUGUUUUUGUUUGUGAGAUAGAGUUUUGCUCUGUCGCCCAGGCUGGAGUCCAGUGGCGUGGUCUCAGCUCACUCCGACCUCCACCUCCCAGGUUCAAGUGAUUCUCCUGCCUCAGCCUCUUGAGUAGCUGGAAUUACAGGCACUGCCACUAUGCCUGGCUAAUUAUUAUUUUUUGUAUUUUUAGCAGAGACGGGGUUUCACCAGGUUGGCUAGGCUGGUCUCGAUUCCUGACCUCAAGUGAUCUUCCUGCCUCAGCUUCCCAAAGUGCUGGGAUUACAGGCAUGAGCCGCCGCGCCUGGCCAUUGAGUCUUGAAUAGUUAAAACUUCCAAGAGGAGGAGACUGCCAGGGUGGUAAGGAGGCCCAUGUGCACGCGGAGCAGCAGAAGCAGCCGAAGCAGCUGAACUCCCCCCACAGGUCCUGGGGGCGGGCUGUGAGCGUCCCGGCACUGCAGGUGCCCGCAGAUGCAGGCGGGGCACAGGAUGAGCCAUUGGAGACUUCCCUCUUGCUUGAGAGAUGGGUUCUAGAAUGCUGUUUUAAAAUAACUCUUAGAGGUGGGUUAAGUGGGUGGAAUAUAGAUAGAGCAGGAAACUGCAGAAGGCACUGGCUGGGGGAAAGAGUCCCCUCAGAGAUGAGGAUGAGUUGAGUUUUUUCUCUGUUCAGUGACCGCGCCCCCUGCCCCCGCUCCAGCGAAGCCCCCUGUUUAUCAACCCACUUGGUCAGAAGACAUUUCACCACAGCCAGAAACCAGGGUCAGCUACUUCAUGUCCAUCGCACGCACCACCACCACGUGCAUGGUCUGCACCUGACCCAAGCUGAAUGAUGGACAUCACCUGUGUAAGCAUCUUGAUGAAGGGAAAAGCUCACUGGGUGCCAGUCCCAUCCCUUCCGUCCUCUGGGCCUCAGUCUUCUCUGUCAAACAGGCAAGACUCAAAAGGCUCCUGGAGACCCAACAGGCCAGGCUAUAAAGCAAGACAUGACCCCAGAGCAGCCACCUAUCUCAUCCUUGGGCCAGCCGGGGCAGGGGCAGCUGGGGGGACCUCAGUGACACUUUUGACUGCAAGCCACUGAAAAUGUCUUGUACUUGCUAUGUAUCUCCUGCUUGCUUCCUAUCAUUUUUUUUUUAAAAAACACUAAUUGUGCACUAAGUGCCUUUGCCAGGCACUAUUCUAGGUACUUGGAAUAGAGGAAAAGAAAAAGGAUGAAGAUCGCUGCCGCAUGGGGCUCACAUUCUAGUAAGUGUGGGGAGAGUAGCCACAAAGGGCAACACAACUGUGUAACUCAUGCUGACGUUGGUGUGACAGGGGCAGAUGGUGAAAGGGCAGAGUUGGGCACAGAGGCCCGAGUGCGCUUUUUGGUGUCACAGCCAGGGCAGGCCUCUUAGAGGAGGAGGGAGGCAGAGAGCCUUCAGUUGGUCUAAGCUCUUACCCCAAGCUCAUUGCUUUUACCUGUUCUCUAGGAAUAUCUGCAAAAGCUCUGGCCCAGGGAGGUGGCAGUACAGGCCUGUAAACUCCUAAUAGAAGGUCCAGAGUCCAGAACUCUCCAUCUUAGAAAUGGGAACAAUUUCCUUACCAAGUCUCCACUCGAUAGGCAAUGUCCUCUCCUGAGGGCCAGGGAGCACGCCAUUCAAGGACUUGACUGCACUGGCUAAGCCAGGAGAGGGAGGAAGAGAAGAGGGUUAGUGUGUGAUUUUUUUUUUUUUUUUCGGAGACAGGGUCUGGCUCUGCCAUCCAGGCUGGAGUGCAGUGGUGCAAUCUUGGCUCACUGCAACCUCUGCCUCCUGGGUUCAAGCUAUUCUCGUGUCUUAGCCUCCCAAGUAGCUGGGACUCCAGGUGCAUGCCACCACGCCCAGCUAAUUUUUGUAUUUUUAGUAGAGAUGGGGUUUUGCCAUGUUGGCCAGGCUGGUCUUGAAAUCCUGACCUCAAGUGAUCCAUCCACUUCAGCCUCCCAAAAUGCUGGGAUUAUUGGUGUGAGCCACUGUGCCUGGCCUUUAAUGGAACUUUUCAAGGAACCAUUCAAAAAUAGUUGUUGGGGCUGGGUGAGGUGGCUCACGCCUGUAGUCCCAGUACUUUGGGAGGCUGAGGUAGGAGGAUUGCCUGAGCCCAGGAAUUCAAACCAGCCUAGGCAACAGAACAAGACCCUGUCUGUACGAAAAAUAAAAUUAGCUGGGCACAAGCCUGUGGUCCCAGCUACUCAGGAGGUUGAGGUGGGAGGAUCACUUGAGCCCAGGAGGUCAAGGCUGCACUGAGCUGUGAUUGCGCCACUGUACUUCAGUCUGGGUGACAGAACGAAACCCUGUCUCAAAAACAAAACGAAACAAAACAAACCCAAGACAAACAAAACAAACAAAAAUAGCUGUUGAACUGUUUCCUUUCUCCUCGACUGGCAAUGACACUGAGUUCCUUCCACUCAUGGAGGAGUCACUCCGGGACUCCCCGUGCACUGUCAGAACACCUCUAAGGCACCAUCUUCACUUCACUCCCUUGAAGAGCAACAAUCUCUCCCGUCUAAAGGGCCCCUGAGCUGCGUGGCAAACCAGCAAUGAAAGAAACAAAAAACCUGCAACAGAGUCGUAAGGUUUCAACUCUUGAGCACAAGCUCUUUCUCAUUUUGAUGCCCCUCUGAGACGGACUGGAAGGGACAGUGCGUGGGAAACACCCCUCUUCUGCCCCUGCUCUGCCUGGUGCCACACCCAUGGAAGGGGCAACUGCUCUGCAGACCUGAAGGUCAGCACGAAGGUCGCUUACUGGGUAGGGGCUGCCUGACGCAGCUUCCAUAGUGACUAUAAUUUAUUCACAGGCCCAUGUAUGGAGGUUUUUCUUCUAAAUAUCAUUAUUCUAAGCAUCAUCAUGGGCACAGUGGCUCACGCCUGUAAUUCCAGUACUUUGGGAGGUCGAGGCGGGAGGAUCACGAGGUCAGGUGAUCAAGACCAUCCUGGCUAACACGGCAAAACCCCGUCUCUACUAAAAAAUAGAAAAAAUUAGCCAGGCGUGGUGGCAGGUGCCUGUAGUCCCAACUACUCGGGAGGCUGAGGCAGGAGAAUGGUGUGAAGCCGGGAGACGGAGCUUGUAGUGAGCCGAGAUCGCGCCACUGCACUCCAGCCUGAGCCACAGCGUGAGACUCUGUCUUAAAAAAAUAAAAAAAUAAAAUAAAAUAAAAUAGAAAUCAUUAUUGUCUAGGCUUUUGGAGAAGCAUAUGCUGUGAAAAUGAUCACGGCUGUGCUCCUAAAAGCCAGUCAUGUUUCUGUAACAGUUUUCUGCAUGGACCCUCACUUUCAGAAAUGCAAAGGUGGCCUGAGAGCUGGGCACCUCACUUACUUGUAGGAGUAUGGUUUUGGUUCCUCUAAUGUGCCUGAUGUAGAAGAGAGGGAAGUCGGCACUCAACGAAGAGGAACACCAUUGUCAGGAUUAGGAGAAUGCUCUGCUUGGCAGGUAAAUCAAACCAGCAGCACAGCCCCACUAGGUGUCUCACCUCACUUCUGAGAGAUUUCCAGGUGGUUGAUGAGGGAAAAAUGCAGUCUCUUUUGAUUUUCAAUGGUCGUAGAAUAUCCCUUUUCAAAAUUCAUUGUAUGCAGAAUAAAAAUGUCACAUUCUGAGAAUGGAGAAUCUAUAGAAAGGGCCUGGAACCUUAGUAAUGAAUGAGUUUUCACAUUUUAACCUUCGUAAAGGGAAUACUACCCAUGUUGCCAUGAAAAUCAAGCCAAGAUCAAUUAGUAACAUAGUCUUAUAAACAUAACGCACUUGGGUAACUUUCUGUGGAUGAAUACUAGUCUCUGAGACACGCACUCCUUAUUUGACCAAGUAACACAUUAAAACGCAGCCACUGCUUAUGACAAGUGAGCCCCUCAAGAAAAUACGAGCAUAAAGAGUGGCCACUGCAUCAGGGCAUUCCAGAAACUCAUUUUUCUUAAAGGAAUUUAACUUCUAGUACUCAAUGUGUCCUUGAGAAUGCAAAAAUGGAAAACAAUUCAAAAUCAGUCCCAGCUACAAAGAUAAGGAAGAGGAAGUCCGCUGUGGCCCAGCCUCUGCUUGGCAGGGCUCUGCUCCACCUCUGCAGAAAUUAUGCACAGGAACCUGCUGUGAUGGGUGUUUCUGGGGUAGGAAUCUUUUUUUUUUUUUGAGAUGAAGUCUUGCUCUGUUGCCCAGGUUUGAGCAUAAUGGCAAGAUCUCGGUUCACUGCAACCUUCGCCUCCUGGGUUCAAGCGAUUCUCCUGUCUCCGCCUCCCGAGUAGCUGGGAUUACAGGUGUGCGCCACAUGCCUGGCUAAUUUUUUUUUAUAUUUUUGUAGAGACGGGGUUUCACCAUGUUGGCCAGGCUGGUCUCGAACUCCUGAACUCAGGUGAUCCACCCGCCUCGGCCUCCCAAAUUGUUGGGAUUACAGACAUGAGCCCCUGCGCCUGGCCUUGGGGUAGGAAUCUUAAGGAAGUCAGUUUCGUAGUCAUGAAUUUCAUAGAACAGCUCAGAAACAUCUACCCAGAGGAGGAAGUAAUUUAUGGCAGAACAUCUCCUUGGUUUUCUGCUCAGCAGAAGGGACAGUGACAGACAAGGACAGCAAAGGGGGAGAGAAGUCUGUGUGUAGAUCUCCUUAAAGAGGCUCAUGUGUGCCGGGCGCAGUGGCUCACGCCUGUAAUCC
rnacentral:lncRNA from 1 species